AGCGAGCGCUGGCGGCAGGCCUAAUACAUGCAAGUCGAACGGUUCCUUCGGGAACAGUGGCGGACGGGUGAGUAACACGUGGGAACGUGCCCUUUGGUACGGAACAACUGAGGGAAACUUCAGCUAAUACCGUAUGUGCCCUUCGGGGAAAGAUUAUCGCCAUUGGAGCGGCCCGCGUUGGAUUAGGUAGUUGGUGAGGUAAAGGCUCACCAAGCCUACGAUCCAUAGCUGGUCUGAGAGGAUGAUCAGCCACACUGGGACUGAGACACGGCCCAGACUCCUACGGGAGGCAGCAGUAGGGAAUCUUGCGCAAUGGGCGAAAGCCUGACGCAGCCAUGCCGCGUGAAUGAUGAAGGUCUUAGGAUUGUAAAAUUCUUUCACCGGGGACGAUAAUGACGGUACCCGGAGAAGAAGCCCCGGCUAACUUCGUGACAGCAGCCGCGGU
rnacentral:rRNA from 1 species